rnacentral:rRNA from 1 species
UACAGAGGUCUCGAGCGUUAGGCGGAAUCACUGGGCUUAAAGCGUGUGUAGGUGGAUCGUUAAGUACCUUGUGAAAUCCCACGCUCAACCGUGGAACUGCUCGGUAUACUGCCUGUCUUGUGCAACCUAGGGGGCGAGCGGAACAGAUGGUGGAGCGGUGAAAAUGCGUAGAUAUCAUCUGGAACGCCAAUGGUGAAAAACGCUCGCUGGGGGGUUUUGCAGACGCUGAGACACGAAAAAGCCA